GCAUUCCUUUCACUUCUACCUCCCCAGCCAGGUCUACAGCAGAGCAUGUUGGAUUCCAGCCUCCCUUGUCUAGUUCUCUUAAGGUGAUUCUGACGCAAAGCACCACCUUUCCAUUUCGUAGGGUUCUGGUUUAUUUGGGAGGUUUGUUUGUUUAUUUGUUUUGCAUGUAGCAUGGCUUCCUGGCUAUCAGGCAAACAGGCAUAGACAAACCCUCCCUCAGUCCUGUUUGUCGUUCGGGUGUGAGGGGGAGGAUGAAAUGCCACCCAUUUUUCCACCGCCACCCUACUCCAGUUCAUAAAAUGUGCUUUGGAUGGGUUCCACUCUGUUGCACCAGACGUCCCUUGCUGCUUGCUUCCUCAGCCCCUCUGCACAACCUUGCCAUUGCUGUUGUAAAGAAGCUGUCUCUGCAGCAUAAUGAUGCUCAAGGCUGGGUGACUGUUGCAUCUCAUUCCAGCGAGGUACAGGGACAUGAUCCCAGAUGACACCAUCUGCCAGGCAUGAUCCUCGGUUUCCUCCCCUUCUAGGUACUCCCUCAAUGCAGAGUUUCUACUCAGGGAGUAAAAUAGUGACGUCAGAUGGAAUAAUCCCUUCCGGGAACCAUCUGCCAUCAUUUUGGGGCAGGAUAGAUGGCUUCAUCUUCAUCUAGAACUCAGCUGAAAGUUUUUCAAGAAGAAUUUUUGCUUUUGAAAUACAGGUGGGACAGGGGAAAGAAGAAGGAAUCCCCCAAAACUUGAGGCUAUUUUUUUUUUGGGGGGGGUGUUCCUCAAAAAAUGCUGAGUCUCUUCUCUUCGCUUCAGUAGCACAAAUUAGUUCCUUUUUGUUCCCUUCAUCUUUCUUAAACAUCCAUGUAUCUCAUGCAGAAUUGGAAUUCUUCAAAACGUCUGCUGUCUGGUCUGCCACCAGGAAAGAGCAGGCUGGCUACCAGGGACCAGGCCUUUUCCGUGGUAGCCCCAUACCUCAGGAAAAUCCUCCCUCAAAUACUAAAUCAACAUACUUUGCAUGUUUUUGUAUGGACCCCGGAGGCUGUAAUGUGUUUACAUUUCACUUUCCAUAUAAUGUUUAUAUGCUGGCUGCUUGCUUUUAGCUGUUCCCCGUUCUUUAACUUUAUGUACUUGUUUGUGGUGGUGUGUUUAACUAGUUGACUUUAAGGUGCCUUGAGGUCUUCUGAAAGAUUUAAAUAACAAUCAAUUACUAGCCCCUCUGUGUGUGUGUGUAUUAAAAAUGCGCAUGCCGAGAACAAUUAUAUACCACUUUCUGUCAAGGCACUCAAGGUAUUCUAAUAUUUAAAAUACUUGCAAGAAGAAAAAAGGAGAACUGUUUUUAAGGUUGGACAGUGACAUGGGGAGAAAUGCAGGUAUGCUAAAAUUCCAUGUCCCUCCCAGAAUCCCUGGAGAGCUACUGUCAGUCAAUGUAGACCAGGGAUUGGGAACCUGUGGCUUUGCAGAUACUGUGGGACUGUAACUCCCAUCAUAUCUGACCAUUGGCCAUGGUGACUGGAACUGAUGGAAGCUGACGUCCAACAGCAUCUGGAGGGCCAAUCUGGAAACAGAAGCUUUCAAAUAGAGGAGUGUUUUAUGCAAAAGUACGGCACAUGGCUAUCAUAGUCCUCAGUCAUGCUGCUGCUAUUAUAGUAGAAGCUUAUUAAUUGCAUUUCUGUAUCAAAAAUAGCCAGGGUGACAUACGCAAAAAUCAAAAGUGAAAUACAACCUUACCAAAACAGUUGAAAAAUUGUUUUCACCCAUGCUGUUGCCUUAUGCCAACAUCAUGCUCCACCCUCCUUUCCUACUCUCUCUCCAUGCCAUUGCCAGGCUUCCUGCUAGAAAAUUCUAAAAUCCUGCCUGCCACCACCCACAACCAAUUUAAAAAAUAAAAAAUGGGUAAAGCUCAGAGAACUAAAUAAGAUUUUCAGUUUUCAGGGGUGGUAACUUCCAUUUACUUCAUAGCUUCUUGCCCUUCCCCAGAAUUAAGUUAUGCAAAAGUCUCUGCUUGCUUUGCAUAACUGGGAUUUGUUUGGCACAAAAUUUGGGUUACUUUUCAUCACUUACUUUUUUUUUUUACAUUUUAAUUAAAAAAGAGCAAAGUAUGCACAACUCUGUAUCAUACAUAAAGUUGUAAGCUUCCCAGGGCAGGGAACUCUCUGUGACUCUGUUUAACUCUACCAUGCAGUGAACUUUAUGCAGUAGUAAUGAUGCUAAUAAUAAUUGACCGUUUCAGACAACGUGAGUCGCCGAGUGCGGUGUUCCUAAGGGCACAGCAAGAUAGCCAUUCUCCCCCAGUCUUCUGGCUGUGCAUUAGCUUGGAAACGUGGAAAUCCCAACAAAGUGCUGCCCUCCCUCUGGUUCUUAGUUCACCCCUAAUUUUUGGAUGCUUGUAGUCAGCCUGGGUUUAAGGUGCAUGCGUGUGGACUGUGGGAUGUGCAUUGACAGCCAUCCCAGUCCAAGUCUGUUGCAUUGGUACACUCUAAAUAUCACUGUGGGCAAAGAAAAGCCUGGAUCGUGUGUGUGUGUGUGUGUGUGUGUGUGUGUGUGUGUAAAGCAAAAGGAAAUGGAUUCUUUAUUGAGGCUUUGCUGGUGUGACAGAUGAAGACCAUGCAGCUGAAAUAGAAGUGGAACAAAGAGGAUACCCAGAGGCUGACUCUUGCCCCUGCCAAUACGAGAAGCUGCAGGUAAUAGAUAAGAGGGGACAGAAGGUGAGGCACUCUCUCAACCUCAGAAUAUUGAUAAGAUUGGCUUAGGUUGUGACUAUUAAGCCCUGUAGUUGUGUUUACUCUUUUCCUUUCCUGCCAUAAUGAGUUCGUGGGCACGAGUGGCCUGGGUGCCCCAAUCAUCUUCUUGCGCUAUGCUAAGGAAGUCUGUCUCCUGGAUCUUCGCUUGCAUGACAGGAAUCCUUCUCCCUCUCGCCCUUGCUUGCUGAUCCAUAAGAUAUCCCUUUUGAUCUUAGCACUGGGAGGUGCCGAAGCCUCUGUGUGAAGAAGGGUUUCAUUUCCCCCCCUGUUUUUAAUUGCUGACCUUCCGCUGCUCCAAGUUUUGAUGGUGGGGAAAGACAGAUGGAAGAUAAGGGUGGGGUGAAGAAGGGAGUGUGGAAGAGCAGAGGGAAAGGUCUCAUUUUUUUUUCAAAAAGCAGAGGAAAUUUGGGGUGGUCAGUAGAGCUCAUGUGGUUAGCUAUGUUCAAAAUUAGGGGCCUUCCAGCCAUCCUUUUCGUUGUACAUUCAUUAUUAUUUGUGCUCAUGAUGGUAUCAGGGAAGUUACAUGCUAUUCUUCCUUCAAUACUUUUUGUACCUGCAAAGGUUUGGGGGGCACACAACUGAUCAUUUCUGAUCGGUUCAUGUUCCAUAGCGUCCUUUUGAAAUCCUGUAACUUCGUACCACAAAUGUUACACAGGGCUUUUGUUGUUGUUGUUCUGCCUUUGAUGAAGUACAGUCCACAAGUGCCCCUCAGUAAUGCUGUAACAUUGGGUUGUUACAGGGUUGCCAUAUUUCAAAAAGUAAAAACCAGGACACCCCAAAGUUGUGCUUUUUUUUUUUUUUUACACAAAAACGCCAAAAAAUGUGAUUUUUGGAUUGACUUGCCUGAGAUCCAGGCAAAGCAGCACAUUUCAUAAUUUCCCCCGGAUGUCUUUUCUGCCUUUGAAAUCCCAGUGGUCCAGUAUUAAUCCACCAGCAGUGCACUAUUUUUGUGUCAAUGAGUUGUUGCAGAAUGCAGCUCCAAAACAAACCAACAAACACAAAAACCAGUCUGGAGGAGCCCUUAAUUUCCUGCCUUAACCAGGCACACAAGACAUUUUUUCUGAAGCAGCACACCCACCAUCUGAGAUUAUGAAGCUAUUUUAUACUGAGUCAAUUCACCUAGCCCCAGCAUUUACUAUUAUUCCAGUUCGCUCCUGCUAUCCGGAGAUUGACAUAGGUGCCUUCUGCCUGCCAGCUGUGUCCUUUGCUAUUGAACUGCAAUCCCUCUCAAUUCCUCUCCUGCAACAUAAGAAUGGCCUGCUGAAUCAGGCCAGCAGCCCAUCUAACCCAGCAUCUUGUUCUCACAGCGGCCAACUAGAUGCCUAUGGGAAGCCCCAAAGCAGAACCUGAGUGCAAGCAACAGCACUCUAUCCACUUGUGAUCCCUGGCAACUGGUGUUCAGAGAUCCAUGCCUGUGCUUAGAUCUCAUCUCUAGGCUCUUCUGAGAUUUGUGAGUCCUGAUUUUCAGUCUCUCUGUGUUGAGCAAAUGUGUUCAGCCAAACUGAGUUCUGGCUUUGUUGCUAGCUGCUGGGGAAAAGAUUGGGUGCUGAACUGUUACUUUGUUUUGC